CCUGCAUCAGAGAACCCAGCUUUGCUGCCCCCAGAUUCUUGUCUUUCAUAUUACUUAGAAACCUGAAAGCACAGAAGACAAAGAGAGGGCCUUGGAAGUCACCAGAGAGAACAGAUUGCGCACACAGCAAUGAGAAUUCUAGCACCAGCUCCUUUUUCAACAGAGACAGUGGAAGUCAAGGAAACUAUGGAUUGGCAGCUUCAUACCCCGGUGUAAAAGGACGAUCAAGUCAAACUCUGACUCCCCCGCCCCCAGGGUGCCGGUAAAAUAAGACAACGAAAAAUGUUUUAAAAUAUUAAACAACUGGCUACUAAGAACUACCAAAGGAAUUUAUUAAGAUGCACACCAGGAAGGAAGAAAAUAUUCCCAGGAGAUUUAAAAUUACAAAAUAAACAACGAAGAGAGCAAAUGACAGGUCCCCAUUGUCUUCGUGGACCACCAACGCCUAAUGUAGCAUACCCACUGGAUGGAAGCUUUGGGACAGAGGAGAGCCGUGGGAAGACCAUGGAAGCUCAGUUUUGUUCUGAACCUGAAACUGCUCUAAAACGUCUAUUUAUCAGCAACAGCCAGCCAAGAUGCAAGCAUAACACAGCAAAACAAAAGGAUACUAACCUUGGCAGCUAAUCUUCCUUGUCAACUCCAUGGGAC
ensembl:lncRNA